GUACUGCUGAGGAGUCCCAUACCAGGACGAAACGGCCGUCCAGUGU
rfam:Schistosoma mattheei strain Denwood, Zambia genome assembly, scaffold: SMTD_scaffold0014545